GAUCAUUAAGACUAAGGUUUUAAUGACACGACUUGACAGAAUUCAAGAGAGUUUAGUUCUUUCAGUUUUAAAACUGUAAACACAUAAACAAUG
rnacentral:sRNA from 12 species